rnacentral:rRNA from 1 species
UACGUAGGGUCCGAGCGUUGUCCGGAUUUAUUGGGCGUAAAGCGCUCGCAGGUGGUUCGUUGCGUCGUGCGUGAAAGCCCCCGGCUCAACUGGGGAGGGUCACUCGAUACUGAUCGACUCGAAGGCAGGAGAGGGUAGUGGAAUUCCCGGUGUAGUGGUGAAAUGCGUAGAUAUCGGGAGGAACACCAGUGGCGAAGGCGACUACCUGGCCUGUUCUUGACGCUGAGGCGCGAAAGCUAGGGGAGCAAACGGG